GUGACCAACCAUCCUGGUUUGCUUGGGACUGAGGGGCUUCCUGGAAUCCAGGACUUUUGGUGCUAAA
rnacentral:miRNA from 1 species